UACCGGUUCUCGUUAGAUCACCGAAGUCAAGCAUCAUUGGGCGCGGUCAGUACUUGGGUGGGUGACCACCUGGGAACACCGAGCACCG